GACGAACGCUGGCGGCGUGCCUAAUACAUGCAAGUAGAACGCUGAAGAGAGGAGCUUGCUCUUCUUGGAUGAGUUGCGAACGGGUGAGUAACGCGUAGGUAACCUGCCUUGUAGCGGGGGAUAACUAUUGGAAACGAUAGCUAAUACCGCAUAACAAUGGGUGACACAUGUCAUUUAUUUGAAAGGGGCAAUUGCUCCACUACAAGAUGGACCUGCGUUGUAUUAGCUAGUAGGUGAGGUAACGGCUCACCUAGGCGACGAUACAUAGCCGACCUGAGAGGGUGAUCGGCCACACUGGGACUGAGACACGGCCCAGACUCCUACGGGAGGCAGCAGUAGGGAAUCUUCGGCAAUGGGGGCAACCCUGACCGAGCAACGCCGCGUGAGUGAAGAAGGUUUUCGGAUCGUAAAGCUCUGUUGUAAGUCAAGAACGAGUGUGAGAGUGGAAAGUUCACACUGUGACGGUAGCUUACCAGAAAGGGACGGCUAACUACGUGCCAGCAGCCGCGGUAAUACGUAGGUCCCGAGCGUUAUCCGGAUUUAUUGGGCGUAAAGCGAGCGCAGGCGGUUAGAUAAGUCUGAAGUUAAAGGCUGUGGCUUAACCAUAGUACGCUUUGGAAACUGUUUAACUUGAGUGCAGAAGGGGAGAGUGGAAUUCCAUGUGUAGCGGUGAAAUGCGUAGAUAUAUGGAGGAACACCGGUGGCGAAAGCGGCUCUCUGGUCUGUAACUGACGCUGAGGCUCGAAAGCGUGGGGAGCAAACAGGAUUAGAUACCCUGGUAGUCCAAGGGCGAAUUCCACAGUGGAUAUCAAGCUUAUCGAUACCGUCGACCUCGAGGGGGGGCUCGGUACCCAGCUUUUGUUCC
rnacentral:rRNA from 1 species